CAGUAACGGCGAGUGAAGCGGCAACAGCUCAAAUUUGAAAUCGGGCUCUCGUCCGAGUUGUAAUUUGCAGAGGGUGCUUCGGGUGCGACGCCGGUCUAAGUUCCUUGGAACAGGACGUCAUAGAGGGUGAGAAUCCCGUAUGUGACUGGCGAUCAACCCCGUGCGAAGCCCCUUCGACGAGUCGAGUUGUUUGGGAAUGCAGCUCUAAACGGGUGGUAAAUUUCAUCUAAAGCUAAAUACCGGCCAGAGACCGAUAGCGCACAAGUAGAGUGAUCGAAAGAUGAAAAGCACUUUGGAAAGAGAGUUAAAAAGUACGUGAAAUUGUUGAAAGGGAAGCGCUUGCAACCAGACUUGCACGCGGGCGAUCAGCCGUCCCUCUGGGCCGGUGCACUCGUUUGCGUUCAGGCCAGCAUCGAUUUCGGCGGUCGGAUAAAGGCCUCGGGAACGUAGCACCCUUCGGGGUGUGUUAUAGCCCGAGGUGCCAUGCGGCCAGCUGGGAUCGAGGCCCGCGCUUCGUGCUAGGAUGCUGGCGUAAUGGUUGCAAGCGACCCGUCUUGAAACACGGACCAAGGAGUCAAACAGUCAUGCGAGUGUUUGGGCGUCAAACCCAUGCGCGUAAUGAAAGUGAACGGAGGUGAGAUCCCGCAAGGGCGCAUCAUCGACCGAUCCUGAUGUCUUCGGAUGGAUUUGAGUAAGAGCAAGACUGAUUGGACCCGAAAGAUGGUGAACUAUGCCUGAAUAGGGUGAA
rnacentral:rRNA from 1 species